ACACCUUUCUCGGCCUUUUGGCUAAGAUCAAGUGUAGUAUCUAUUCUUAUCAGUUUAAUAUCUAAUAGGUGGGCCAAUAGUCCAGACGAUAUUAAAUUAAUUUCUUUAGGGUGAGGGCUCAUUACAAUAACUUGAUAUUGGAGACUUCGUGUGUUAUCUAAGCGUUGCACCACUGCUCGGGCCUGACACAACCCAC